rnacentral:rRNA from 1 species
GAUGAACGCUGGCGGCGUGCCUAACACAUGCAAGUCGAACGGAGAUUUUAGAGGAAGCCUUUCGGGGCGGAACCUUUGAACUUAGUGGCGGACGGGUGAGUAACGCGUGAGCAAUCUGCCUUCAAGAGGGGGACAACAGCUGGACACGGCUGCUAAUACCGCAUAACAUAUAUUUGUGGCAUCACCGAUAUAUCAAAGGAGAAAUCCGCUUGAAUAUGAGCUCGCGUCCCAUUAGCUAGUUGGCGGGGUAGAGGCCCACCAAGGCGACGAUGCGUAGCCGACCUGAGAGGGUGACCGGCCACACUGGGACUGAGACACGGCCCAGACUCCUACGGGAGGCAGCAGUAGGGAAUUUUCGGCAAUGGGGGGAACCCUGACCGAGCAACGCCGCGUGAAGGAAGAAGGUUUUCGGAUUGUAAACUUCUGUUAUAAAGGAAGAACGUUACAUGGAGGGAAUGCCAUGUAAGUGACGGUACUUUAUGAGAAAGCCACGGCUAACUACGUGCCAGCAGCCGAGUAAGAC